rnacentral:rRNA from 1 species
GACAGAGGGUGCAAACGUUGUUCGGAAUUACUGGGCGUAAAGGGCGCGUAGGCGGCGUGUCAAGUCAGGCGUGAAAGCCCCGGGCUCAACCUGGGAACCGCGCUUGAGACUGGCAUGCUCGAGUUCGGGAGAGGAUGGUGGAAUUCCCAGUGUAGAGGUGAAAUUCGUAGAUAUUGGGAAGAACACCGAUGGCGAAGGCAGCCAUCUGGACCGACGCUGACGCUGAGGCGCGAAAGCGUGGGGAGCAAACAGG